ACGCGCGUAACAGGAGGACCUAGAAAGAAAUUUACCCAAACUUCUUAAACACUGCAUUUAAACGGGAUUAAAAUAAAACAAUUUGAAGAUUUCAUGGGAAAAAUUUGAAAACAAACCAUAAUGAUUUUGAAAUGAUGGGAUAAAAUGGAAGGAUUAAAAACGUAAAUAACCCAUCAGUGCUUAAAACCCUUUUCAAUCUCAAAUUAAAGCAAUAGGCGCAAGAAUUGUUUCAUCUUCUUUUCUUCCUUUUUAAAACAACAGAGGGAAGAAAAGGGGAAUCUGCUAGGUUUUCUUUAAAGCCCUAGCUACCACCAAGCCACCGCCGUCAAAGCUCCGCCGCGGACUCCGAUUCAGGUAUGGAGAUCGUGGAAGGAGUGUGUCGUGGGUGAUGACGGUUGCUGCAACGUGGGUCGUGUGGCACCGGGGCUGGAUGCUGAAGCUUCUAGGGUUUUCUAAUUUUCAGUUUUAGGCUAAUUUGGGUUUUAGGGUAAUUGGACUGGGGAAAUUGGGCCAAGGGUAUUUGGGUAGUGUAAUUUUAGAUUUUAGACUAUUUAUUAUUUUAUCUAUUUAUUUGGGCCCGGGCCUAAAAUUGGGUAUUACAAUAUAUAUAAUUACAUAAAGGCUUAAUUGUCA